UCCUGGCUAGUUCAGUUGGUAGAUAGCUCCACUGGAAAUGGAGAAAUCCCUUGUUCGACACCAGGACCAGGCG
rnacentral:tRNA from 1 species